rnacentral:rRNA from 1 species
UACAGAGGUCUCAAGCGUUGUUCGGAUUCAUUGGGCGUAAAGGGUGCGUAGGCGGCGCGGUAAGUCGGGUGUGAAAGCCCCCGGCUCAACUGGGGAGGGUCACGCGAUACUGAUCGACUCGAAGGCAGGAGAGGGAAGUGGAAUUCCCGGUGUAGUGGUGAAAUGCGUAGAUAUCGGGAGGAACACCAGUGGCGAAGGCGACUUCCUGGCCUGUUCUUGACGCUGAGACGCGAAAGCUAGGGGAGCAAACGGG